rnacentral:tRNA from 1 species
UAGGAUAUAGUGUAUUUAGGUAGCACGAAGAUUUUUGAAUUCUUAAGGUUAGGUUCGAUUCCUAUUGUUCUAG